GGACAAGUCAUAAUCUAGUUUAUGAGCAGGUAAGACUAUACAGUAUGUAUAAACGUUAACUGCAUAUACUUAGAAUACAGUUUAUUGAGCUUCAGUAAAGAUAUGGUUAUGCUGAACAUAAGUAUAAACAUAAAAAUACAAUAAUUUUAAAAAAAUCAUAAUUACGAACAAAAUAUUCAUCUUAAUCGACAAAUAAAUUGAACGAAGCAUCCUUUCAUUUAAAAAAAAAAUAUCUUAGCAUGCAUGCCAGGUGUAAUAUGGGUAAUGUUUGUUAAUGUUUUCAAGGAUAAAUGGUAUAUAAAAACGAAAAUAUAUACAUAUAUAAUAUGUAGAAAAAACCUAUAAUUUGAGAAACAUCACUUCCUUGACGACAUUUGUUUUUAAAUAGUUGAUUUAAAACCAGAAAUCGACCUUAACACACCUUUAAAACUUUUAUUUUUCAAGCACGCAAUUAUAAUCAAAGCAGUACUUUUUUAAGUAAACACCUAAAAUAGAGCAUUGCUUAUAUGCUUAAUUUAAAAUGAGUUAGUAAAUACAACAGUUAUCCUUUAAAACUGCAAUAUGGAAUAUGAAAUUAAAAACCGACUAUUUCGUGUUUGUAAAUUAUGUAAAUGCAAACAGCCAACGGACGACUCAAGGUGCAGGAUUUUCUUGCUGUGUUGAUGACCAAUUGGUGGCCUUUUUUGUUUUUUAUCUGCUCAUUGAUCGGCUAGUUGUUUCUUUGAAAAUUGAUUUAACAAACAUUAAAGGGAUACAAAUAAACAGACCGAUUUUUAUCAGUAAAUCAUAAUCACUAGAAAAAAUAUUAACCUGAUACGGAAAUAUUGAUCUAAACCUUAUUUUACGUACAAGUAUACAAAAUAAUGUGUUGAGAUUGCCAAUGAGACAACUCUUCACAAGAGACCACAUACAUGUAACACAAAAAUCAACAAUUUUAGGACACCGUACGGCCCUCAGCAAUUAGCAAAGCCAAUACCGCAUAAUCAGCUAUAAAAGGCCCCGAUAUGACUAAUAUAAAAAAACACUAACGGCCUAAUGCAUGUACAAAAAUAAACAAACACAAAUAAAUGUGUAGCACAGCAAAAAAAAAAAACUGCCACAUAUAUACAAGCUCCUGACUCGAAACUUAAAAAAGAAAAAGAACGAUAAGAAAUGUAUAGCACAGAAACAAAGACAACCACUGAGUUGCAGACUCCUGACUUAGGACAGAUACACUAAAAACGUAAUACAAGUCGGAUAUAAUGUUUUAAGAGUUUAAGCUAUAUCACGGUAGAUAUAGUGUUUGGCUAGGAUCGUGGUUUUUCGAGUGAUUUGGUCCAUUUUUUUCAAGUGAAGAUCGGGCUUUUUCGAGUGAUAAAACAUGCGAUAAGUUCAAUUAAAGGAUAUUUCGUAAUUAUAAUAGUUUUUAACAUUACUUCCCAUCUUAUAUUGAAUACUAUAUAUGUUUAAAUCAACAAAGAAGCUAAAUUUCCUUGUACUUAAAAAAAAAAUCACUGUUUGUUAUUGUCUGGGUGUUUUUCGAGAGCAACUGUGAAAGCGUCCGGGUUUGUAGACAAAUGGUCCGAUUUUUUUUACAGAAAAUUUAAAGUAUUCUAAACUUUAAAAAAUGAUCUUUUUCUAGUUUAUAAAUGUAAUUAAGUGAAGGACAAUAUCAUAUAGUCCCAAUAAGUCAUCAACAACAUAUCAAAAUUAUUUUUUUUUUUCAAUUUAAUGCAAAUAUUUUGUUUGGACAGCGUUAUACACCUACUUUUCAGUGCAAAAAUCAGCAAUGAAAUGAAUAGUUCAUUAGCCUAAAUAUGAUCCUUAGGCAAUGAUAGACAAGUGCAAAAUGUGUAUAUUAUAUGCUAUCACCAGCUAGAUUGUCCAGUGUUUCGAACGACACCAGGAACAACAUUGUAAUGACUUGAUUAAUAUUCAUAUUUUCCAUUUUUUAGACACUUUUCUUUUAUUGAAAGGAAGUUAUCAUGGCGUUUAGUUGCUGUAUGAUCAAUUAUUAUAUUUUACAUAAUCAGAGUCCUCAUCAUAGUUGUAGCAUUUAGCCGUUUUAUAGUUAACUAGUUCAAAACCAUUCAAACGGGAAAACUAACGGUUAAAGGGUGGGGUGGGGUAGAAAAAAAAAAGAAAAAAUUUAAUCGAAAGAUAUAUUUAUGUUUCUUGCCGAAAAAAGUAAUAAAAUGGCGAAAAAUAUAUUGUUUUGGCGAAAGAGAUUGCUAAAAAACAUAAUUGCCCAGGGGGAUACCCAACUUUGGACCAUAUAGGUAUACAUAAGAAACGAUUCAAUAAUACAAUAAACAUUUCUAUAACAAUGACGGUUACAUGAAAUGUUUUAAUUUUAUAGUUCAAAAGGCUAACCAUAACAGCACAAGUUACAAGUUGUAACCCAUUUUCUUUCAAUUAAUUGUGUUUAUAUGGAUGUAACUGUUUUCUUUCUGUCUGUAGUAUCAAUGAUUAGACUCAUUAUAAUAUCGACGUUUUUGUCAGUAAGUUAAACAGUUGAACUCUUGUUUAACAGUUCAUUUAGAUAUUUUUGGAAGUUAUCUUCCAAGUCGGCAUUUUGCUGUCCAGUAAUAGUUAUCCCGCGAGGUCAUAAUACUUAUAUGGUCCGGAACACUCACAUUAGGUUGUUGACAUCCCGGAUAUAUACUGUACAUGCAAUUUAUAAGAUGUGAGAAAAAGAAUAUAUACAAAUGAACGAUACUGGUUUCAUGAUAAAAUGCAAGUGUUAAUACACCAUGUGCCUUGAAAGUACCUAAUUUGAGCCUUUAUUUUAUAGUUUUUAAACGUAAACACAUAACAUUUUUAACUAUUAGUAUAAGAAAUGUGUAUAAUCACUCUAUAAAAAAGGACACACUUGAAAAAGCCCGGACUGCUCUCGAAAAAACCGGACAUGAAAAACUGAAUUUAGUCUCACAAUGUCUUUUUCAAUGCAAUUACAAUAUUUUUGUAAAGUGUCUGUAUAUCUAAGGAUAUAUAGAUUCCAUGUAUAUAUUUCCGUCGACAUUUGCAUUGGUAUGUGUAAGAAAAUAGAUUUAUUCGGUAUUUUGGAAUAAACAAAUUUUAAGGCUAAAUUUAAUUUUUUUAAAUAAAAAGCAAUGUCAGAAUGAUACUAUUUUUAUAUCUCAAAUACUCACAUAUCAUGUUUAACCUUGUAUAUCAAACUCAAGCUUCUAUAUCACGUCUUGUUAGAAAAGAAGCCUGUUUGUUUACAUUAUUGAUCAUUUUCACUCGAAAAACAGUUGACACACUCGAAAAAGCCCGAUCAAAUUAUUCGAAAAACCACGAUACUAGCCGGACACUAAACCUACUGUGUUUACGACUUAGAUUGAAGUUUGUCUCAUUGUCACAUACCACAUAUUUCUAUAGAUAUAGGAAAAUGUGGUGUGAGUGCCAAUGUGACAACUCUCCAUCCAAAAAACAAUUUAUAAAAGUAAACCAUCUAUUUUAAAAAUGAUUAUUUUAUAAAGGGUAAGGACAGCUUUGAAAAUAUUCAAAUACAUUCCAGGUUUGAUUGUAACAUUAUAUAAAAUCACCAGACACGAUAUGUGCAAACAGUGGUCGUUGGAUGAUAGUAAAAUCGCCAUUAAACAUUUGAAUUGCGUUUGUUUAUAUUAUAGCUGCAGUGACACGAAUAAUUUCACUGAAAUCUGUUUUAAAUAGUUUCUCGUGACCAUGCUCCUAGAUGCGUAUCAUUCUUGGAAAACAACGACUAAAUGGAUAGCUUUAGUAAUGAAAAAAACUUAUUUUUGGUCGUGUUCUAGUUGUUUGUUCUUUUUAUUAAUGUAGGGACAUAUAGGUUAUCCCUGAAACCAUUUGUACGUCAUAUUUCAUUACUGCGGGGUUUAAAAGCGAUUUCGUGUGUCAUGCAGGAAAGGAACAUCGACUAAUUUGUAAAGAUAUAUAAUUACAUUAGAGUAUGUUUAAAUUAUUACAAGUAAUGUUGAUUGGCUAACAGCAAUCUUGCGUUCUUUUUCAAUUAAAAAUGAAUUGCAUGUAUUGAAACGUACAUUAUGACACACGUUUCCAUUAUGAUUUGCACGGGUAAAUAAAAGAAAAAACUCGACAAUAAUCAUGUCUUCAUGGUCAUAACGAAAACAUGUAGUUAUAAGUAUUUAGAAGUUCAAAAAGUUGUUUUUAAAAAUCAGAACAUUAAUUUUCAUACAUACUGUUCAAGUUUUAUUUUAAAUGUGAUUUUAACAACAGGUAAGUCUGUGCACACGAGAUGGUGUACAAAGACGUAUCCAGUAAAUUGUUUAUCAGGUAGUGCGAGAUCAUUAUCACGUUGAUAUUAUGUAACGGAAAUGAAACCAAACACAUAAUUUAAAAAAAAAUAAUGUUGAUUGGCAGUUUCAUGUAUUUUAUUCAUAUUCUUAAAAUAUGAUGCAUCGUACUACAUUUGUACUAACAAUGUGUUUUUUUUCAGCAAGGUUCAUAAAAAUGAUGAUUGGCUGUGUUCUUCUCCCUUUUCUUCUGUCAGUUAUUCAGGCUGUUGAGGGUAUGUUUGUUUCAAUAAUUCUUUAAUUUCUUAUUGUUUUUUUUGAUAUCAUUAUUUUAGACCUAAGUGAUUUACCUCAUCAAUGUUCGUUUAUGUAAGAUUUGUAAUAUAUAAGACUUGUAAUAAAAAUUUGACAGGAAGAUGGAUAAAAGAGGAUAAAAGAGGGGCAAGAUAAAGGAGGGAUAUUCAAACUCAAAGUUUGAAAAUUAACUGAAAACGCAAUGGUUAAGAAAGAAAAAGUCAAACUGACAAAUAAUAGUAUACAAGACACAACAUAGAAAACUAAAGUCUAAGUUAUACGAAACCCAGAUGAUAGCAGAUGCUGCAAAAGUGUAUGCAGAUUCUGCUGCACAUGUGACACCCGUCACAAAUCCGCUAAAUAGUAUAAUACGGUAAGCACAUUCGUGAAUAGGGAACGGAUUGUGUAGUUUAAUAAUAAGUGACAUAUCCAAUAUCAUUUGUGAAACGGAUAUACCAUACAGGUCAACCAACUCGUGAUGGCGUCCGUAAAAAUAACGAAUAGACGAUUUCAACUCAACCAUUUAGAACUCUUGGUUUAAUAGCUUACUCGUGUUACUUGUGAGCGGCAACCCUCUAGCGAGCAAAUCAAGAUAAGGAAAUACAAGACCAGGAAUAUCGUAUCAAUUGGGAAAUUAAUAUUCCGUAGGAAAGCGCUGAAGGAUUGUUGCUUCAUAGAUAUGAACAGUUCACAAUUGGGAAGCUGGAAAUAUCUCUUUUGUCGUAAAGUUUUGUUAUCAAGCGACCCUCAUUGUGAAUUGCUGGAUGUAAGUCAAGAUAUGAGGAAGAUUUAACUGUAUCUGUUGUAUCUCUAAUCUUUAGUUAAAUGGGAUAGAUGCGUUCAACUUAAUAAGCCCUGCAUUUUUCCUAUCCUACUAUGGAUUAGUCAGUAGUUGAUGUUUUUCACUUUUUCAAUGAUAUAGUGUGUGAUAAUGAGUAAAGUAGUUAAUCUUAGACUUUUAUCUUUUUAAUAGUUACACGCAUUUACAGAGUAUGGACUUAUGGUCAUACUGUGUAGAAACAUGGUUAUUGUUGAUGACUAUAUAUUCCUCAAAGUAUGCAUAUGUAUAUACAUAUAUUUAUUAAAGGUAUUAAGUCACAUGACGUUGUAACGGUCAAGUGAUUGUUUACUAUAAACAUGUGUGUGUGUUUAUAUCAAGCACAUGGUGUUUGUUUACGUUCUAUUUGAUUGGAUGGCAUAUACCCGUAUUGCCGGUUUUACGGGUAUAUGCCCUCAUGAUUUUCGUGAAAAGCAUGAUUGAGUAUUACUUAAGGGGUUAGUUUGAGAAAAUUAAGUUAUUCGAAGUUUGCCUAUAGUUCAACGUAGCAGCAUUCGUUAUAAUGUUACCCCCCCCCUCCUUUUAUGAGAUGGUUAUCGUCAAUGGAGUAUAUGCAUAUAUUACAGUACAUUAAUAUGAAUUUUUCCUCUUUUGUAGAUUGUUUUUGUGUUUUUGAUUGUGUUACUGUAUAUUACUGUGCUAUUGUAUGAUUGGAAUGGUAGUGUGCCUGAAUUUAGAGUGAAGGACUUUAGUUUGAGAAUCAUAUUGAAUGUAAAGUUAAUAUUAAAGGCUGCUACAGCUGUAGGCACACUUAUCCUAUUUAUGUGUUGUUUUAUUUAUUAAAUAAUUUAUAUUCGUUUGAGUUGGCGAAUUAGAAUAUAACAUUAUUUAUACAUCAGUUGACUUUUUAAUUUUGUUUUGCAGUGUGCUCCAAUCAACCAGCAGAUAUUGGAUUUCUAAUUGACGAAUCAGGAAGUGUCGGUCUUACGAACUUCAAUAUCAAUCUUGAUUUUGUCAAGAAAUUUGUGGACGUUUUUGAAAUUGGGAACAGUUAUGUAAAAAUUAGUGUAUUUGCGUUCCAUCAGCUUAUAGGGAAUGGUUUUUAUUUCAGUUGCUGCAACGAUAAAGCCAGCAUUAAAUCUAAAAUAGACAAUAUAAAUUUUAAUUCCGGUAAUGAAGAUUUUGAAAUUGCAUUAAAUUUCGCAAGAAACAAUAUGUUUCAAACCUAUAAUGAAACUCGUGACUUCGCACUAAAAAUCUUAAUAUUUUUCACAGACGGUCGAUCUUCAGUUCAAGAUAGCGAAAGUUUACUUCAUCAGCUUGGAGUCAUUGUGUUCGCAGUAGG
rnacentral:lncRNA from 1 species